rnacentral:rRNA from 1 species
UACGAAGGGGGCUAGCGUUGUUCGGAAUCACUGGGCGUAAAGGGCGCGUAGGCGGCUUUGUAAGUCGGGGGUGAAAGCCUGUGGCUCAACCACAGAAUUGCCUUCGAUACUGCAUGGCUUGAGACCGGAAGAGGUAAGUGGAACUGCGAGUGUAGAGGUGAAAUUCGUAGAUAUUCGCAAGAACACCAGUGGCGAAGGCGGCUCACUGGCCCGAUACUGACGCUGAGGCACGAAAAGCGUGGGGAGCAAACAGGG